rnacentral:rRNA from 1 species
GAAUAUUGGUCAAUGGGCGCAAGCCUGAACCAGCCAUGCCGCGUGCAGGAUGACGGUCCUAUGGAUUGUAAACUGCUUUUAUACAGGAAGAAACACUCCCUCGUGAGGGAGCUUGACGGUACUGUAGGAAUAAGGACCGGCUAACUCCGUGCCAGCAGCCGCGGUAAUACGGAGGAUCCAAGCGUUAUCCGGAAUCAUUGGGUUUAAAGGGUCCGUAGGCGGUUUGAUAAGUCAGUGGUGAAAGCCCAUCGCUCAACGAUGGAACGGCCAUUGAUACUGUCAGACUUGAAUUAGUGGGAAGUAACUAGAAUAUGUAGUGUAGCGGUGAAAUGCUUAGAUAUUACAUGGAAUACCAAUUGCGAAGGCAGGUUACUAUCACUAUAUUGACGCUGAUGGACGAAAGCGUGGGGAGCGAACAGG